UACAGAGGUCUCAAGCGUUGUUCGGAUUCAUUGGGCGUAAAGGGUGCGUAGGUGGCGCGGUAAGUCGGGUGUGAAAUUUCGGAGCUUAACUCCGAAACUGCAUUCGAUACUGCCGUGCUUGAGGACUGGAGAGGAGACUGGAAUUUACGGUGUAGCAGUGAAAUGCGUAGAGAUCGUAAGGAAGACCAGUGGCGAAGGCGGGAUCGUC
rnacentral:rRNA from 1 species